UACGUAGGGGGCUAGCGUUGUCCGGAUUUAUUGGGCGUAAAGAGCGUGUAGGCGGCCAGGUAGGUCCGGUGUGAAAACUCGAGGCUUAACCUCGAGAUGUCAUCGGAAACCAUCUGGCUAGAGUCCGGAAGAGGAAAGUGGAAUUCCUGGCGUAGCGGUGAAAUGCGCAGAUAUCAGGAAGAACACCAAUGGCGAAAGCAGCUUUCUGGGACGGUACUGACGCUGAGACGCGAAAGCGUGGGGAGCGAACAGG
rnacentral:rRNA from 1 species